UGAUGAUGAUGAUGAUGAUGAUGAUGAUGAUGAUGAUGAUGAUGAUGAUAAUAAUAAUCAUCAUCCUCAUUAUUAUUGUUAUCAUUAUUAUUAUUA
rnacentral:pre_miRNA from 1 species